rnacentral:lncRNA from 1 species
GAAGAAGAGAAGGGGGUAAGAUUAAAAUGUGCCAGGCAGUCUCCAAGCACUCAGAGUGAAUGCAAACAUCGUGUGUUAUAAACAUGAGCAAGAAGAAGAACGGAAGUGGAGAAAGAGGCUUUGGACAGGAGGGAGGAAGGGGAGGGAAGGACGGAGGGGAAAGAGACUGGAAAGCAAGCUGUGUGUGCACAUGCACCUCCUCCCUGUCACGCGCCAUUAUUUCCGGGUUCUUCAUGCUCUGCAUGAAUUCCGGAUGUGAGUCCGCCGGUGACGGUGGUUCACGCCUGCGCAGAAGAGGCGCUUGGUUCGUCAGAAUGACGCAGGCAGGCAUUGACCAAUAGAAAUGGGCCACGUCACCCGAGAGGCUAUAAAAGGCAGGCUCGCAUCCGGCUCGGGGUCUUUCCGCCAUUUUGAAGAAUGUAGAAGAAACUCCAAUAAAGCGUGCAUCAGAAGAAUCCUGAGUGUUGCGUGUUCCUUGCUGGCGAGGUGCGCGCGACAAGUGGUGCCGAAACCCGGGAGCGAUGACCAUCAUUGCCGGCAUCAGCGGAGACCCCUGACUUCAGGAGGAUUCAGAACUGAGACGCAGGAGGGGAGGAUCCACCAACUUUCCGAGAGGUCUCCACUCACAAUUCCCCACGUGGCUCUGUCGUGUUUGAACAAUUAGGAAUAGACGGACGGAUUUGCUGCAGUUGUGAAGUUCAGAGCCGAGGGAAUAGAGUGAGAAGGUCAGCAGGGACCUGGAACUUCGGGCCUGAGGCUCCGUCCCCCGCUUCUCACCCCCACCAGCUUGACAAAAGCCCCUUCCUAGUGGAUCAAUCAUCUUUUCAUCCUGUUGCACCAGAAAUGUUGCUGUUACCGACUGGGGUUUGUUACUGAAAGGGAUUUUUUCUCGUUGCAUUUCCUGAUUUAUCCCAUUCAUUAAAAAAUCUCCAGAAAACCGGAG